GAUGUGGUGGUAAGUGGGAAAGUGUGGAGAAGGAGGCUCCAGUAAGAAUAAGGGGGAGUAGUCCAGUUUUUGAGGUAGUCAGAGGAAAGAAAAAAGGAAUUCAAUCACAAAAGAGAAAUGGCAGAAAUCAAGUGAUACUGUGAAGCAAGUGCUGGUGAGGAGAGUUCAAAGGUUGUUCUCUGGCUUUAGAUAGAGUAGCACUUCUAGAACAAUGGAACUCUGCAUGGCAAAUAAAGAGCACUGAGGAUGAAACAGACUGUUGUACCCAAAUAUCCCAGAAAGUGUCCUCAGUUCUUUGACCAUCAUGAGAAGCUUGUCAUGCCGCAGCUGUUUGGGUGUGCUGUUGUCAUUCAUUUUCUUCACCUGUCUCAUUUGAUGAAUGUGUUUGGCAGUGAACAUUGCUUCGACGUUAGCAGGUGGACUGGAUACACCUUUUGAGGAAGAGACCUUUCCACUUCAGGAUGGAGGCACUUGGUAGUUAACUUUACAAUCAUACAAUCACUAGUGUUUCAAAUCUGCCCAGGGGUCUCUGAAACAACGAUGAACUGAAAUGAUGAUAAAGACUGCUUCAACAGAGACCUAGACAAACUCACUGUAGGAAUACUAGCAUCUAACCAACAAAUGUAACCAUAAGAUCUCUGUGGGCAGAGAACCUAA